rnacentral:piRNA from 1 species
UGAGAAUAUGCACUCAGUUGAGUGUGGUGUG